rnacentral:hammerhead_ribozyme from 1 species
GCACCGCUGAAGAGUCCCACAAUGGGGCGAAAUGACCAUCCAGUGC